UACUAUCUGGAAGGAGAGCAAUCGACAAGAAUCGACCAGCUAGAGAACACAAUCUUGUGGAAUGGGCAAAACCUUACCUUGCAAACAAGCGUAAGAUUUUCCGAAUCAUCGACAAUCGUCUUGAGGGCCAAUAUUCGUUGGAUGGUGCCUACAAGGCAUCUACACUCGCACUAAGAUGCCUAUCUAUUCAACCCAAACUCAG
rnacentral:misc_RNA from 1 species